UACGGAGGGUGCAAGCGUUGUCCGGAAUCACUGGGCGUAAAGGGCGCGUAGGCGGCUCAUGAAGGCUGUGGUGAAAGUCCGGGGCUCAACCUCGGAUCGGCCGUGGCGACUCGUGGGCUGGAGCACUGUAGAGGCGGGUGGAAUUCCUGGUGUAGCGGUGAAAUGCGUAGAUAUCAGGAGGAACACCUGUGGCGAAAGCGGCGCACCGGACCACAACUGACGCUGAGGCGCGAAAGCUAGGGGAGCAAACAGG
rnacentral:rRNA from 1 species